rnacentral:rRNA from 1 species
UACGUAGGGUGCAAGCGUUGUCCGGAAUUAUUGGGCGUAAAGAGCUCGUAGGCGGUUCGUCGCGUCGGCUGUGAAAUCCCGGAGCUCAACUCCGGGUCUGCAGUCGAUACGGGCGGACUUGAGUACUGCAGGGGAGACUGGAAUUCCUGGUGUAGCGGUGAAAUGCGCAGAUAUCAGGAGGAACUCCGGUGGCGAAGGCGGUUCUCUGGGCAUUACCUGACGCUGAGGAGCGAAAGUGUGGGGAGCGAACAGG